CCAAGGCAAUGCUGAGCAAAAAGAACAAAGCUGAAGGCAUCAUUAUUUGACUUCAAAGUGUAUUACAAAGCUCUAGUUAUAAAACUACUAGAAGAAAACAUAGGGGAAACAUGUUAUGACAUUGCGCUGGGCAAAGAUUUUUUAAAAUAAGAAUUCAAAAGCAGAAGCAACAAAAGCAAAAAUAGAAAAAUAGAAUUAAAUCAAACUCAAAAGCUUUUGCACAGCAAAGGAAACAAUUAGCAAAGUGAAGAGACAAUCUAUGGAAUGGUAAAAAUACUUGCAACCUAUACAUCUGACAAAAAGUUAAUAUCCAGAUUAUAUUAGGAACUUAAACAACUCAACAACAACAAUGACAAGAACCCAAUUAAAUAUGGGCAAAAGACCUUAAUAGACAUUUUUCAAAAGUGGACAUACAAAUGGCCAGCAGGUACUUGGAAACAUAUUCAGUAUUGCUCAUCAUCAGGGAAAUGCAAACCAAAACCACAAUGAGAUACAACCUCACUCCAAUUAAAAUGGUUAUUAUCAAAAUGAUA
rnacentral:lncRNA from 1 species